AACCAUUGCAUAAAGCAAUGCUGAACGCACAGAAGUCAGCAGAGGUCAUAGUAGCCGAGAGGUGAAGGAC
rfam:Human gut metagenome DNA, contig sequence: F2-W_001211.